rnacentral:rRNA from 1 species
GGCGUGCCUAAUACAUGCAAGUAGAACGCUGAAGGAGGAGCUUGCUUCUCCGGAUGAGUUGCGAACGGGUGAGUAACGCGUAGGUAACCUGCCUGGUAGCGGGGGAUAACUAUUGGAAACGAUAGCUAAUACCGCAUAAUAUUGAUUAUUGCAUGAUAGUCAAUUAAAAGGUGCAAUUGCAUCACUACCAGAUGGACCUGCGUUGUAUUAGCUAGUUGGUGAGGUAACGGCUCACCAAGGCAACGAUACAUAGCCGACCUGAGAGGGUGAUCGGCCACACUGGGACUGAGACACGGCCCAGACUCCUACGGGAGGCAGCAGUAGGGAAUCUUCGGCAAUGGACGGAAGUCUGACCGAGCAACGCCGCGUGAGUGAAGAAGGUUUUCGGAUCGUAAAGCUCUGUUGUAAGAGAGGAACGAGUGUGAGAGUGGAAAGUUCACACUGUGACGGUAUCUUACCAGAAAGGGACGGCUAACUACGUGCCAGCAGCCGCGGUAAUACGUAGGUCCCGAGCGUUGUCCGGAUUUAUUGGGCGUAGAGCGAGCGCAGGCGGUUAGAUAAGUCUGAAGUUAAAGGCUGUGGCUUAACCAUAGUACGCUUUGGAAACUGUUUAACUUGAGUGCAAGAGGGGAGAGUGGAAUUCCAUGUGUAGCGGUGAAAUGCGUAGAUAUAUGGAGGAACACCGGUGGCGAAAGCGGCU